rnacentral:rRNA from 1 species
GAUCAUGGCUCAGAUUGAACGCUGGCGGCGUGCUUAACACAUGCAAGUCGCGCGUGAAAGGACUUCGGUCCGAGUAAAGCGGCGCACGGGUGAGUAACGCGUGGAUGAUCUACCCAUGAGUUAGGAAUAACGGCUGGAAACGGUCGCUAAUACCAAAUACGCUCCGAUUUCAACUUCGGGGGAAAGGUGGCCUCUGCUUGCAAGCUACUGCUCAUGGAUGAGUCCGCGUCCCAUUAGCUAGUUGGUGGGGUAACGGCCCACCAAGGCGACGAUGGGUAGCCGGUCUGAGAGGAUGACCGGCCACACUGGGACUGGAACACGGCCCAGACUCCUACGGGAGGCAGCAGUGGGGAAUAUUGCGCAAUGGGCGAAAGCCUGACGCAGCGACGCCGCGUGAGGGGAAUGAAGGUCCUCGGAUCGUAAACCUCUGUCAGGGGGGAAGAACCGCCACGGUGCUAAUCAGCCGUGGUCUGACGGUACCUCCAAAGGAAGCACCGGCUAACUCCGUGCCAGCCGCAGC